rnacentral:misc_RNA from 1 species
UGGGCACGGGGUUACGGGCAGCCGACAUACCAUUCACGCGCCUCCUCCAGUGUCGCUAUCUCCAGCCCCCACUCCCUUUCCCCGUCCCGAGCUCGAGCGCGGACGCACGCACAGGCACAGUCGCACACUGACACGAACGCGGCGAAUCCCAGCGUCGGCGAAAUCUGCGGCCUUUUCUCUCCUCUGCAGGCCGUGGGCAGUGGCGCCGCCGCGCGAUGGGGUCGGUGUCCCUGAACGUGGCGUCAUCCCGGCGCGGCGGGCGGCGCCUGGCGUGGCUGUGCUCGUCCGCGCUGCUCAACCUGCUCGUGCUGCUCUCCCUCCUCUCCACCAACCUCCUGGCGCUCCGCGCCUUUCUCUCCCCCCGCGCGCACUCCGUCCCCGCCGCCGGCGCCGCCAACCUCUCCUCCUCCGCCGCCAUCUCCGCGCAGGUGGCCGCCAUCGCGCGGGAGAUCGACGCGACCCGCCUCGUCCCGCGCCACGGCGGCGGCGCCCUGCCCCCGGAGCUGCUCCUCUUCCUGUCCCCGCACGCGCUCCCGCUGGGCCGCGACGCGCGCACGGGGCUCACCCACAUGCCGGCCUCCGUGGCGCACGCCUGCUUCCGCUCCCCGCCCACGCUGGCGCUCCUGGCCGCCUUCGCCACCUACACGCCCCACACCGCCUGCCCGCGGCGCAACGCCACGCUCCCGCACCGCCUCAUCUCCAAGGCCUGCGAGCCGCUGCCCCGCCGCCGCUGCCUCUCCCGGGGCCCGCGCGCCGCGCUCCCGGCCUCCAACAUGGGCGUCGACAGCCACCGCUGGGUGAAGCCGCGCCACGACCACGAGUUCCUCAUCGACGACGUCCUGCGCCUCGCCGGCGGCGGCGGCAAGAUCCGGAUCGGCUUCGACGUCGCCGGCGGCGCCGCCAACUUCGCCGCCCGGAUGAGGGAGCGCGGGGUCACCGUCUUCACCACGGUACUCGACAGCGCCGGGAAGCCCAUGAACGAGUUCGUGGCGGCCAGGGGGCUGUUCCCGCUGCUGCUCUCGCCGGCGCACCGGUUCCCGUUCUACGACGGGGUGUUCGACCUCGUGCACGUCGGGACCACCGCGCUGGCCGAAGGAGGGUCGCCGGCGCUGGGUCAGGCCGGGACGGAGGAAGCGCUUGAGUUCUUCAUGUUUGAUGUCGACCGGGUGCUGCGCGCCCGUGGGCUGCUCUGGAUUGACAGCUACGUGUGCCACAGCGAUGAACGGAGGCAGCUGCUCGUCAGGCUAAUUGGUAGGUUUGGUUACAAGAAGCUCAAAUGGGUAACGGGAGAGAAGGCCGGAACAGGGAGCGCAAAGCCGGCGAUGUACCUC